UACGUAGGGUGCAAGCGUGAAUCGGAAUUACUGGGCGUAAAGCGUGCGCAGGCGGUGCUGUAAGGCAGAUGUGAAAUCCCCGGGCUCAACCUGGGAACUGCAUUUGUGACUGCAUCGCUGGAGUGCGGCAGAGGGGGAUGGAAUUCCGCGUGUAGCAGUGAAAUGCGUAGAUAUGCGGAGGAACACCGAUGGCGAAGGCAAUCCCCUGGGCCUGCACUGACGCUCAUGCACGAAAGCGUGGGGAGCAAACAGG
rnacentral:rRNA from 1 species